rnacentral:rRNA from 4 species
AAAUUGAAGAGUUUGAUCAUGGCUCAGAUUGAACGCUGGCGGCAGGCCUAACACAUGCAAGUCGAGCGGUAGCACAGGAGAGCUUGCUCUCCGGGUGACGAGCGGCGGACGGGUGAGUAAUGUCUGGGAAACUGCCUGAUGGAGGGGGAUAACUACUGGAAACGGUAGCUAAUACCGCAUAACGUCUACGGACCAAAGUGGGGGACCUUCGGGCCUCACGCCAUCAGAUGUGCCCAGAUGGGAUUAGCUAGUAGGUGGGGUAAUGGCUCACCUAGGCGACGAUCCCUAGCUGGUCUGAGAGGAUGACCAGCCACACUGGAACUGAGACACGGUCCAGACUCCUACGGGAGGCAGCAGUGGGGAAUAUUGCACAAUGGGCGCAAGCCUGAUGCAGCCAUGCCGCGUGUGUGAAGAAGGCCUUAGGGUUGUAAAGCACUUUCAGCGAGGAGGAAGGGUUCAGUGUUAAUAGCACUGUACAUUGACGUUACUCGCAGAAGAAGCACCGGCUAACUCCGUGCCAGCAGCCGCGGUAAUACGGAGGGUGCAAGCGUUAAUCGGAAUUACUGGGCGUAAAGCGCACGCAGGCGGUUUGUUAAGUCAGAUGUGAAAUCCCCGCGCUUAACGUGGGAACUGCAUUUGAAACUGGCAAGCUAGAGUCUUGUAGAGGGGGGUAGAAUUCCAGGUGUAGCGGUGAAAUGCGUAGAGAUCUGGAGGAAUACCGGUGGCGAAGGCGGCCCCCUGGACAAAGACUGACGCUCAGGUGCGAAAGCGUGGGGAGCAAACAGGAUUAGAUACCCUGGUAGUCCACGCUGUAAACGAUGUCGAUUUGGAGGUUGUGCCCUUGAGGCGUGGCUUCCGGAGCUAACGCGUUAAAUCGACCGCCUGGGGAGUACGGCCGCAAGGUUAAAACUCAAAUGAAUUGACGGGGGCCCGCACAAGCGGUGGAGCAUGUGGUUUAAUUCGAUGCAACGCGAAGAACCUUACCUACUCUUGACAUCCAGAGAAUUCGCUAGAGAUAGCUUAGUGCCUUCGGGAACUCUGAGACAGGUGCUGCAUGGCUGUCGUCAGCUCGUGUUGUGAAAUGUUGGGUUAAGUCCCGCAACGAGCGCAACCCUUAUCCUUUGUUGCCAGCGAUUCGGUCGGGAACUCAAAGGAGACUGCCGGUGAUAAACCGGAGGAAGGUGGGGAUGACGUCAAGUCAUCAUGGCCCUUACGAGUAGGGCUACACACGUGCUACAAUGGCGUAUACAAAGAGAAGCGAACUCGCGAGAGCAAGCGGACCUCAUAAAGUACGUCGUAGUCCGGAUUGGAGUCUGCAACUCGACUCCAUGAAGUCGGAAUCGCUAGUAAUCGUAGAUCAGAAUGCUACGGUGAAUACGUUCCCGGGCCUUGUACACACCGCCCGUCACACCAUGGGAGUGGGUUGCAAAAGAAGUAGGUAGCUUAACCUUCGGGAGGGCGCUUACCACUUUGUGAUUCAUGACUGGGGUGAAGUCGUAACAAGGUAACCGUAGGGGAACCUGCGGUUGGAUCACCUCCUUA